rnacentral:rRNA from 1 species
AUUGAACGCUGGCGGCAGGCCUAACACAUGCAAGUCGAGCGAGCGGCGGACGGGUGAGUAAUGUCUGGGAAACUGCCUGCUGGAGGGGGAUAACUACUGGAAACGGUAGCUAAUACCGCCUACCAUUACAUUUGCCCAGAUGGGAUUAGCUAGUAGGUGGGGUAAUGGCUCACCUAGGCGACGAUCCCUCGCUGGCCUGAGAGGCUGACCAGCCACACUGGAACUGAGACACGGUCCAGACUCCUACGGGAGGAGGCAGUGGGGAAUAUUGCACAAGGGGCGCAAGCCUGAUGCAGCCAUGCGGCGUGGAUGAAGAAGGCCUUCGGGUUGUAAAGUACGUUCAGCGAGGAGGCGUUACUCGCAGAAGAAGCACCGGCUAACUCCGUGCCAGCAGCCGCGGUAAUAC